rnacentral:tRNA from 1 species
GCCUGGGUGGCUCAGUCGGUCGGGCGUCCAACUUUUGGUUUUGGCUCAGGUCAUGAUCUCAGUUUGUGGGUUCAAGCCCCACAUCAGGCU